CCACACGACUCUCGGCAACGGAUAUCUCGGCUCUCGCAUCGAUGAAGAACGUAGCGAAAUGCGAUACYUGGUGUGAAUUGCAGAAUCCCGCGAACCAUCGAGUCUUUGAACGCAAGUUGCGCCCGACGCCACCCGGCUGAGGGCACGCCUGCCUGGGCGUCACGC
rnacentral:rRNA from 2 species